UAGGAGGCCCCGGCCCCUCAUGGACAUCGUGAUCAUCAGAGAAAGAGAGAUUGAUGUGCCUUCAGCCAUGAUGUCAUUUCCGGGGUCUCUCCACCUGGACCUGCCUCCCAGAAACCAUCAAAAAUGGAAACAUAGCCUUCUUGGACAGACAAAUGAAAAUGACAAGAAGUCUCAACAACUUCCAUAACAAAAGAAGAUGACUAAACGUAAUUUUUUGAACUUGACCACAGUUACACGCAUCCACAAUAAGCAAUCCACUUCUGGCUUCCGAAGAUACAACGCCACUGGAUGACUUCAUUUCCAGUCCACUCCUGAUGACCUCACUUCUGCCUUCCUUCUGUGUCAUCAUCUCCAGUACUUUUUUCUCCAUUGCAAAUGCCAUUCUCUGUCCAUCUGAUAUAAAAGUCCCCCUGGUUCACUCA